UGGAUAACAGGUUGAGAUUCCUGUACUGGUUAAACUUGUUUGAACAAUGGAGGGACGCAGGAGGCUAUCGAUGCGUACUGUUGGAUAUGUACGUUCAAGCAAUAAGUCUGUAGAUGAGUUAAAUGCUUAUCUACUUAAGGACAAGUUGUGAUGAGGAGCGAAAUUUAGUAGCGAAGUGAGAGACGUCACACUGCCAAGAAAAGCUUCUAGUUAGAGUUUAAU
rnacentral:rRNA from 1 species